UACGUAGGGUGCGAGCGUUAAUCGGAAUUACUGGGCGUAAAGCGUGCGCAGGCGGUUCGCCAAGUCAGAUGUGAAAUCCCCGGGCUCAACCUGGGAACUGCAUUUGUGACUGCAUGGCUAGAGUACGGUAGAGGGGGAUGGAAUUCCGCGUGUAGCAGUGAAAUGCGUAGAUAUGCGGAGGAACACCGAUGGCGAAGGCAAUCCCCUGGACCUGUACUGACGCUCAUGCACGGAAGCGUGGGGAGCAAACAGG
rnacentral:rRNA from 1 species